rnacentral:rRNA from 1 species
AGAACGAACGCUGGCGGCAGGCCUCAAACAUGCAAGUCUAGGGGGUGUAGCAAUACAUCACCGGCGGACGGGUGCGUAACGCGUGGGAAUAUACCUAUUGGUUCGGAACAACUGAGGGAAACUUCAGCUAAUACCGAAUGUGUCCUAACGGAGAAAGAUUUAUCGCCAAUAGAUUAGCCCGCGUUCGAUUAGCUAGUUGGUGGGGUAACGGCCCACCAAGGCGACGAUCGAUAGCUGUUCUGAGAGGAAGAUCAGCCACACUGGGACUGAGACACGGCCCAGACUCCUACGGGAGGCAGCAGUUGGGAAUCUUGGACAAUGGGGGAAACCCUGAUCCAGCCAUGCCGCGUGAGUGAUGAAGGCCUUCGGGUUGUAAAACUCUUUCGCGCACGACGAUAAUGACGGUAGUGCGAGAAGAAGCUCCGGCUAACUUCGCGCCAGCAGCCGC